rnacentral:rRNA from 1 species
GUGCACCAGGCGCGAAAACUUCACACUGUGCGAAAGCACGAUGAGGGAAUCCCAAGUGCUUGCACGUAAGUGUAAGCUGUUUCUCUGUCUAAAACGCAGAGAGAGUAAGGGCUGGGUAAGACGGGUGCCAGCCGCCGCGGUAAUACCUGCAGCUCAAGUGGUGACCGUUAUUAUUGGGCCUAAAACGUCCGUAGCCGGUUUAAUAAAUGCCUGGGUAAAUUGUGUAGCUUAACUAUACGAAUUCCGGGUAGACUGUUAAACUUGAGACCGGGAGAAGUUAGAGGUACUCCUGGGGUAGAGGUGAAAUUCUGUAAUCCUAGGGGGACCACCAGUGGCGAAGGCGUCUAACUAGAACGGGUCUGACGGUGAGGGACGAAGCCCUGGGGCGCAAACGGGGAUUAGAUACCCCCAUAGU